CUGGCUUUCCAUUUUCACAUAAUUUGCUGUUAAGCAGCAGCUACUGAAACCUUGAAAUUGUCAGUGAAUCUCUUACACUAAAGUAAUAAUAAAAAUUAAAUCAUGAAAAAUACUGAAUGUCCUUAGCAUGCCAAGAGUACUUUUUUUGGUGACUUGGAAUGGCAUAAUGUGCAUAGAAAGUGUAACCAAACGGUUUCAUCUUGUUAUUGCCGCUCCAAACAUGUGAAGUUCCCUACUGUGCCAGAUGUUAAUUGGAUAAUCAAUCUCUACUAAAAUGUACUGGUCUAAGACCUUAGUGCUUUAUCAAUGUCACUAUGUCAGCAGCUUCCCUGUCCUCAUUUCCUCCAUUCGGUAAGCUGCAAAGUCCAGGGAGUUACAGUGGAGGAUUUAUCUGUGUGAAUCUCUCAGGCUUGCAAAAGGAAAGUUAAAAAAAAAAAAAAAAACUAAAUGCUGAGACACGGACAGAUAUAAAUGGGCAGCAGGAGCUUUCCAGGUGAUUUAUAUAUCUUUCCUGGACUGGCAGAAUGCAUCGCAUCUGAUGCUACCUACCUCUGACCCUCAGCCAAGCUUUUACAAGUUAUCUUGUCAGGAACCCUGGCAGACUUUAAUCCCACCCUCUGCAGCCUAAACUCUAAUAGCAGAUGUUUAUGGAAGGGGGUUGCCUUUUCCCCAUUUAGCUGGCUUGAUGGAAUUCAGGUGGCAGGAGCUAACAACAUAUGGAAAGCCCAUUAGAGACUGCAUUAGAAAUGACCUUUUAAGCUCUGUGCCUGUGCUAUAUUUCAUCAUUUUGGACAUUACCUGCACUAAAGCAUUAGACUCGGUUUGAGUCUGAAGGGUAAUAAGGUACUAAGGAGAGGAUUAGGAUGUCUAUUGAUAUCUGAAUUUGUAGUGAAACUCAGAGAACUGUUCUGCUUGGUCCUAAAAAAAGACAAAAACAAAAGAACCUGUAACUAUGUUACAUAUGAUGUGUUUUUUAAGUUAGCUAAGGCUGGAGGAAGGCUGAAGGAAUCCCAUUUACUUUACUUUAGUUUUGUGAAUACUAACUUCUUUACAACAUUUAAAGAGCACAUCACUGUAGUUGUUUAUCCAUUGAUCCGAGUUGUCUAGUUUUGGAGAUAAUGCCUUCACAGAGGCUGGCCUGCUCUUGAAUUCAUUGGAACUUAAAAGCACUUGUAGUGCUCAAAGCCAAAACUCGCAGCAAUGCCUCUUUAUAGAAAUCAUGACUGGGUUAUUUUGAAAAGAUCCACAAACCUUGCUGUGGAAGUGCCAUCACUGUGCAGAGGGGCUAAUGCUACAGCAUGGGAGCAUGUUAGCAUUAAUGAUGUCCCCUGUAUAUUAAUACAUUUAGCUUAUGUACUGUAGUUUGCAAGAAACUACUCACAAUAUUUGUUUGUUUUUGAUUAUUUUUGGUUUGUUUUUUUUGUUUUCUUAGUAACCAAGCCAUAUUUUUGGAAAUAAACAUUGCUUCUGUUUUUCAAAUGUAGUUUAGUUUAGCAGUUCAAAAAAGAGCCCCUCCGACAGCCAAACCCAUCUGUUCUCUGAUUGGAUUGUUACAUUUGUGAUUGACAUGACAUUGACC
ensembl:lncRNA